rnacentral:sRNA from 1 species
CACUUGGACACCUGACAAACUGACAGACAUUGGCAGGACAGCACAAAUAGUUGAUGGAUGAGCUAUGGAAGAUGAAAUUGAAAAAGAAGGAGUGGGAGAGCGAAAGAAACAACACGCAUAUAGAAAAAAAUAUGACUGAUUCGAUUUCCUGUUGGGGCUCUAACCUAUUGACAAGUUUUUUUUUCUCUUGAAUAAUGUGGAAAAAUUCUAUUGUAAUGUUUUUGAUAUGCGUAGUGUAUAUAGAAGCCUUGCAAUGUUUAUUUUCAUAAAACUGAAAACAAU